UGCAAGCCGAGCGGUAGGGUUUCUUCGGAAACCUGAGAGCGGCGCACGGGUGCGGAACACGUGUGCAACCUACCUUUAUCAGGGGGAUAGCCUUUCGAAAGGAAGAUUAAUACCCCAUAAUAUAUUAGAUGGCAUCAUUUGAUAUUGAAAACUCCGGUGGAUAGAGAUGGGCACGCGCAAGAUUAGAUAGUUGGUGAGGUAACGGCUCACCAAGUCAGUGAUCUUUAGGGGGCCUGAGAGGGUGAUCCCCCACACUGGUACUGAGACACGGACCAGACUCCUACGGGAGGCAGCAGUGAGGAAUAUUGGACAAUGGGUGAGAGCCUGAUCCAGCCAUCCCGCGUGAAGGAUGACGGCCCUAUGGGUUGUAAACUUCUUUUGUAUAGGGAUAAACCUUUCCACGUGUGGAAAGCUGAAGGUACUAUACGAAUAAGCACCGGCUAACUCCGUGCCAGCAGCCGCGGUAAUACGGAGGGUGCAAGCGUUAUCCGGAUUUAUUGGGUUUAAAGGGUCCGUAGGCGGACUCGUAAGUCAGUGGUGAAAUCUCAUAGCUUAACUAUGAAACUGCCAUUGAUACUGCGGGUCUUGARURRRSUAGAGGUAGSYGGAAURAGWMRWGUAGCGGUGAAAUGCAUAGAUAUKWCUYAGAACACCRAUUGCGAAGGCAGSUUACYAUGKYUUWAYUGACGCUGAKGSACGAAAGCGUGGGGAKCRAACAGGAUUAGAUACCCUGGUAGUCCACGCCSUAAACGAUGMWMACUCGCUGUUGGCGAUACACAGUCAGCGGCUAAGCGAAAGCGUUAAGUGUUCCACCUGGGGA
rnacentral:rRNA from 1 species